rnacentral:rRNA from 1 species
GGAGGAAGGUGGGGAUGACGUCAAGUCAUCAUGGCCCUUACGAGUAGGGCUACACACGUGCUACAAUGGCGCAUACAAAGAGAAGCGACCUCGCGAGAGCAAGCGGACCUCAUAAAGUGCGUCGUAGUCCGGAUUGGAGUCUGCAACUCGACUCCAUGAAGUCGGAAUCGCUAGUAAUCGUAGAUCAGAAUGCUACGGUGAAUACGUUCCCGGGCCUUGUACACACCGCCCGUCACACCAUGGGAGUGGGUUGCAAAAGAAGUAGGUAGCUUAACCUUCGGGAGGGCGCUUACCACUUUGUGAUUCAUGA